AGUUUAGAGAGAAUAGAGAGAUUCUAGAGAGAGAGAGAGACUCAAAACUCCAUUAAUUGAUUUAAUGUCACAGAUACAAGUUAUAAAUGAAGAGAUAAGGCUGAUACAAAGGGGAUUUCGAAAUGGGACUCAAAGCAUGUGAAGUCAAGGCUAGCUGGCUGCUAAGAGGCUUCACAUGCUUGGACAGGCUGUAAAGUAGCUUUACCUUUCCAACUAUGACCAGACCUUAUCCAAAC
rnacentral:lncRNA from 1 species